AUUGAACGCUGGCGGCAUGCUUUACACAUGCAAGUCGAACGGCAGCGCGGGGCAACCUGGCGGCGAGUGGCGAACGGGUGAGUAAUAUAUCGGAACGUACCCAAGAGUGGGGGAUAACGUAGCGAAAGUUACGCUAAUACCGCAUACGAUCUAAGGAUGAAAGUGGGGGAUCGCAAGACCUCAUGCUCCUGGAGCGGCCGAUAUCUGAUUAGCUAGUUGGUAGGGUAAAGGCCUACCAAGGCUACGAUCAGUAGCUGGUCUGAGAGGACGACCAGCCACACUGGAACUGAGACACGGUCCAGACUCCUACGGGAGGCAGCAGUGGGGAAUUUUGGACAAUGGGCGCAAGCCUGAUCCAGCAAUGCCGCGUGAGUGAAGAAGGCCUUCGGGUUGUAAAGCUCUUUUGUCAGGGAAGAAACGGCUCCAGCUAAUAUCUGGGGCUAAUGACGGUACCUGAAGAAUAAGCACCGGCUAACUACGUGCCAGCAGCCGCGGUAAUACGUAGGGUGCAAGCGUUAAUCGGAAUUACUGGGCGUAAAGCGUGCGCAGGCGGUUUUGUAAGUCUGUCGUGAAAGCCCCGGGCUCAACCUGGGAAUUGCGAUGGAGACUGCAAGGCUUGAAUCUGGCAGAGGGGGGUAGAAUUCCACGUGUAGCAGUGAAAUGCGUAGAGAUGUGGAGGAACACCGAUGGCGAAGGCAGCCCCCUGGGUCAAGAUUGACGCUCAUGCACGAAAGCGUGGGGAGCAAACAGGAUUAGAUACCCUGGUAGUCCACGCCCUAAACGAUGUCUACUAGUUAUCGGGUUUUAAUUAACUUGGUAACGCAGCUAACGCGUGAAGUAGACCGCCUGGGGAGUACGGUCGCAAGAUUAAAACUCAAAGGAAUUGACGGGGACCCGCACAAGCGGUGGAUGAUGUGGAUUAAUUCGAUGCAACGCGAAAAACCUUACCUACCCUUGACAUGUACGGAAGCCACGAGAGAUCGAGGUGUGCUCGAAAGAGAACCGUAACACAGGUGCUGCAUGGCUGUCGUCAGCUCGUGUCGUGAGAUGUUGGGUUAAGUCCCGCAACGAGCGCAACCCUUGUCAUUAGUUGCUACAUUUAGUUGAGCACUCUAAUGAGACUGCCGGUGACAAACCGGAGGAAGGUGGGGAUGACGUCAAGUCCUCAUGGCCCUUAUGGGUAGGGCUUCACACGUCAUACAAUGGUACAUACAGAGGGCCGCCAACCCGCGAGGGGGAGCUAAUCCCAGAAAGUGUAUCGUAGUCCGGAUCGCAGUCUGCAACUCGACUGCGUGAAGUUGGAAUCGCUAGUAAUCGCGGAUCAGCAUGUCGCGGUGAAUACGUUCCCGGGUCU
rnacentral:rRNA from 1 species